rnacentral:rRNA from 1 species
GAUUAACGCUAGCGGCAGGCAUAAUACAUGCAAGUUGAACGGGAUAAGUUUAGCAAUAAACUUUGAGGGUGGCGCACGGGUGCGUAACACGUAUGCAACCUACCCGAUACAGGGGGAUAGCCUCUCGAAAGAGAGAUUAAUACCCCAUAACAUAGAGUAUAGGCAUCUAUAUUUUAUCAAAGUUCCGACGGUAUCGGAUGGGCAUGCGGUUGAUUAGCUAGUUGGUGAGGUAACGGCUCACCAAGGCGACGAUCAAUAGGGGGUCUGAGAGGAUGUCCCCCCAAACUGGCACUGAGACACGGACCAGACUCCUACGGGAAGCAGCAGUAGGGAAUAUUGGUCAAUGGGGGCAACCCUGAACCAGCCAUGCCGCGUGCAGGAAGACUGCCCUAUGGGUUGUAAACUGCUUUUGUACGGGAAGAAAUGUCACUAUGCGUAGUGAUUUGACGGUACCGUAAGAAUAAGGAUCGGCUAACUUCGUGCCAGCAGCCGCGGUAAGAC